rnacentral:rRNA from 1 species
GAUGAACGCUGGCGGCGUGCCUAAUACAUGCAAGUCGAGCGAACAGAUGAGGAGCUUGCUCCUCUGACGUUAGCGGCGGACGGGUGAGUAACACGUGGAUAACCUACCUAUAAGACUGGGAUAACUUCGGGAAACCGGAGCUAAUACCGGAUAAUAUAUUGAACCGCAUGGUUCAAUAGUGAAAGACGGUUUUGCUGUCACUUAUAGAUGGAUCCGCGCCGCAUUAGCUAGUUGGUAAGGUAACGGCUUACCAAGGCAACGAUGCGUAGCCGACCUGAGAGGGUGAUCGGCCACACUGGAACUGAGACACGGUCCAGACUCCGACGGGAGGCAGCAGUAGGGAAUCUUCCGCAAUGGGCGAAAGCCUGACGGAGCAACGCCGCGUGAGUGAUGAAGGUCUUCGGAUCGUAAAACUCUGUUAUUAGGGAAGAACAAAUGUGUAAGUAACGAUGCACGUCUUGACGGUACCUAAGCAGAAAGCCACGGCUAACUACGU